UACGUAGGGGGCAAGCGUUGUCCGGAUUAUUGGGCGUAAAGAGCGUGUAGGCGGCCAUACAGGUCAGCUGUGAAAACUCGAGGCUCAACCUCGAGACGUCGGUUGAAACCGUAUGGCUAGAGUCCGGAAGAGGAGAGUGGAAUUCCCGGUGUAGCGGUGAAAUGCGCAGAUAUCGGGAAGAACACCUAUGGCGAAGGCAGCUCUCUGGGACGGUACUGACGCUGAGACGCGAAAGCGUGGGGAGCGAACAGG
rnacentral:rRNA from 1 species